rnacentral:misc_RNA from 1 species
GGUUUUUACACGUUAUACAGAAUUGAUGAAUGGGAUUAUCGAUACAGAAGAGGACGUGAAGUUGCUUAGAGAAAAGGGAAUUAUUCUGAACCACUUGAAGAGUGAUGAAGAAGUUGCAGACCUCUGGAAUGGGAUGAGCAAGUCCAUUAGACUAACCAAAGUGCCAUUCUUGGACAAGGUGAUUGAGGAUGUUAACAAGUACUACAAUGGUCGGUGGAAGAUAAAAAUUGGGG